CAGCGCCAGCUCUGCUUGGAGCUGACUGUCUCUCAGACGAUCCGUCUCCGAGUCCAGCUCCUGGUGAUGGCGGGCCGUCACCUCCAGGAGGCGCUGUGCGUGAGUGUGCUCCAGUUGGGAGAGUUGAGCCUGAAGACGGGUCACAGUCUCCAAAAGGUCCUGCUUCUCAGCCAGCUCCUGCUCCAUGCUGCCGACUGCCUGCUCCAAACGCUCUCUCACUCUGGCUAUGGACGCCGCCUCCUCCUCCUUCCUCAACCUCUCCAUCUCCACCUGACAACAGCGAGAGGGUGACAUAAUGUGAAUGACUUUACCAUGAUUGUUCUGCACUCAUGUGCCUUCCUGUAAUGGGUGUCCCAGAAUCCAACCACAGAAACAGCCUGGUUCUCACAGUCCACCUACAUGUUUCCAUCACUUUGCACGAUGGAGAAAUUCAAGGAAAUAAUUUUACUAAACUACAGAACAAUAAAACUGUUCAAAUGAU